rnacentral:sRNA from 1 species
UACAUCGACUUUAUAGGAUAACAGUGCAAAAUGCUGAGUUUCAUUCAAAGGUAAUCUUACCCCCAAGGGAGUAAUGAUUAUUGUCCGGUGUCAAACAGGCAUAAAAAAAGCGCCCAAAGGCGCUUUUUAGAA